UACGUAGGGUGCAAGCGUUGUCCGGAAUUAUUGGGCGUAAAGAGCUCGUAGGCGGUUCGUCACGUCGGCUGUGAAAACCUGAGGCUCAACCUCAGGCCUGCAGUCGAUACGGGCGGACUUGAGUACUGCAGGGGAGACUGGAAUUCCUGGUGUAGCGGUGAAAUGCGCAGAUAUCAGGAGGAACACCGGUGGCGAAGGCGGGUCUCUGGGCAGUAACUGACGCUGGAGGAGCGAAAGCGUGGGGAGCGAACAGG
rnacentral:rRNA from 1 species